UACGUAGGGUGCAAGCGUUGUCCGGAAUUAUUGGGCGUAAAGAGCUCGUAGGCGGUCUGUCGCGUCUGCUGUGAAAACUCGGGGCUUAACCCCGGGCCUGCAGUGGGUACGGGCAGACUAGAGUGCGGUAGGGGAGACUGGAAUUCCUGGUGUAGCGGUGAAAUGCGCAGAUAUCAGGAGGAACACCGGUGGCGAAGGCGGGUCUCUGGGCCGAUACUGACACUGAGAAGCGAAAGCGUGGGGAGCGAACAGG
rnacentral:rRNA from 1 species